GGAUAAUUUGAUCUUUCAAGAAAUGCCAGAAGUAUUACUGUACUCCUGAUUUCCAACAAAUAACAAAUAUUUGUUUUUCCCAUAGGAAAAAAGCAACCGCAACUCGCGUUUGUGGACGGCGAGAAACCGCAUCUGAAUGAAUAACAAAAAGUAGAGCUUCUGAAGUGAUCAAAGCAAAAAUAGCCUACAUGAUAGUAAGAUAGAGAGUAAACAUGAUUGUUUCUAGUUGAGGUUAGUUACAAGUCAAGUGUCCUGGCUUUGCAUCAGUUCAAAAGAUUUAGGGGUGACUGAAGAGAACGCCUGGGAUCUGUGUGGAAGAGCCGCGCAGAUCAGCUCAAUCAAAUCAGAUGUCAAUUCUGCCAAUGAGAGGAUUGCAUUCAAUGAUUGGGCAAAACAGACGAAAAGGAGCUUCAUGUCAAAUUAAAUGCACCUUAGUCUCACGUGUAAUUAUUGUCUCGUCACAUUUUCGGUGACUAAAAUGAAAAGUAAUUUGUAAUAGUUAGUGAUUUUUCCAGGGCAUCUCUUCUCAUGAUUGUCAUAGUUUUAGUCAGGAAAAAUUGGUAGUUGAAAAGCAUUUUUUGUCAUAGUUAUUGUUGAUGGAAUUAACACUGGCGUGUGUGUGUGGGUGGGUGUGUGCAUGCUUGUGUUUACCUGCGUGGUCGUAGUACAAGGUGUAGGAGUCAUCAGUCUGGGGGGUAGAGCCAAUACUGGUGGGAGGAAGUAUCCAAUCCGGUCCGUUCCUCUCUGGUUGUCAUGAAUAUAACCUUUCCACCUUCCGUCCAUGUGCUGCUCCAACACCUGAAAUCAACCAUUCAUCAUUCAGCAUGAUAGCUGUGCUAUUUGUGAUUAUAAGUGGUUAUUGGUCAACUUCUACCCACAGAAUGGUUGCGCCACCUGAUGUGAGAGCUGUUACAUUGAAGACUAGGUCGUAGUCAUUAGUGCACACAGUAGAAAACAGUUUUAGAACGAUAACAAGAGUUUCUUAUUGACAAGUUCAGGUAGUCCCUCCCCGUUUCAGUCUGUUUUCUUCUGUUUGUUAAGUGAAUACA
rnacentral:lncRNA from 1 species